rnacentral:rRNA from 1 species
UACGGGGGGAGCAAGCGUUGUUCGGAUUUACUGGGCGUAAAGGGCGCGUAGGCGGUCAGCACAAGUCAGUUGUGAAAUCUCCGGGCUUAACUCGGAACGGUCAAGUGAUACUGUCGGACUAGAGUACAGAAGGGGCAACUGGAAUUCUCGGUGUAGCGGUGAAAUGCGUAGAUAUCAAGAGGAACACCUGAGGUGAAGACGGGUUGCUGGGCUGACACUGACGCUGAGGCGCGAAAGCUAGGGGAGCAAACGGG